UCCACGCUGUAAACGAUGUGCACUAGGUGUUGGGGAUAGGAUCCUCAGUACCGUAGCUAACGCGUUAAGUGCACCGCCUGGGGAGUAUGCCCGCAAGGGUGAAACUCAAAGGAAUUGGACGGGGGGCCCGCACAAGCGGUGGAGCAUGUGGUUUAAUUCGAUGCAACGCGAAGAACCUUACCACCCCUUGACAUCCAGAGAAUCUGUUCGAGAGAGUAGAGUGCCUUCGGGAA
rnacentral:rRNA from 1 species